rnacentral:rRNA from 1 species
GUUAUAAAGUACUUUCAGCGGGGAGGAAGGUAGUAAAGUUAAGGCCUAGCUCAUUGACGUUACCUGCUGAAGAAGCACCAACUAACUCCCACCAGCAGCCGCGGUAAUACGGAGGGUGCAAAAAUAAUAUUAAUUACUGGUAAAAAAGCGCUCGCAGGCGGUUCAAUUAAUCUGAUGUGAAAUCGCCGUUAUCACCGAACGACCAACUUCUGAUGCUGGCAAGCAUGACGGAAGGGAGGGGGGUAGAAUUCCAGGAUCGCGGUGAUAUGCGUAGUGAUCUGGAGGAAUACCGGUGGAGAAGACGGCCCACUGGACGAAGACUGACGCUCAGCGCGAAAGCGUGGGGAGCAAACAAGAUUAGAUACCCUGGUAGU